rnacentral:rRNA from 1 species
GUCUACGGCCGUACCACCCUGAAUGCACCUGAUCUCGUCUGAUCUCGGAAGCUAAGCAAGUUGGGCCUGGUUAGUUCUUGGAUGGGAGAAUACACUAAAGCUGAAUGUA